GUGAGGAAUAUUGGUCAAUGGACGCAAGUCUGAACCAGCCAUGCCGCGUGCAGGAAGAAGGUGCUAUGCAUUGUAAACUGCUUUUAUACGGGGGUAAUUACAGAUACGUGUAUCUGGUUGAAAGUACCGUAUGAAUAAGGAUCGGCUAACUCCGUGCCAGCAGCCGCGGUAAUACGGAGGAUCCGAGCGUUAUCCGGAUUUAUUGGGUUUAAAGGGUGCGUAGGCGGUCAGGUAAGUUAGAGGUGAAAGCUCGAUGCUCAACAUCGAAACUGCCUCUGAUACUGUCUGACUAGAGUGUAGUUGCGGAAGGCGGAAUGUGUGGUGUAGCGGUGAAAUGCUUAGAUAUCACACAGAACACCGAUUGCGAAGGCAGCUUUCCAAGCUAUUACUGACGCUGAGGCACGAAAGCGUGGGGAGCGAACAGG
rnacentral:rRNA from 1 species